rnacentral:rRNA from 1 species
UCAGGUGGCCGCAGAGAAUAGGCCCAAGCGACUGUUUACCAAAAACAUAGGUUUCUGCUAAGUCGCAAGACGAUGUAUAGGAGCUGACGCCUGCCCGGUGCUGGAAGGUUAAGGGGAUCUGUUAGAGCAAUCGAAGCAGUGAACUUAAGCCCCAGUAAACGGCGGCCGUAACUAUAACGGUCCUAAGGUAGCGAAAUUCCUUGUCGGGUAAGUUCCGACCCGCACGAAAGGCGUAACGAUUUGGGCACUGUCUCAACAACAGACUCGGUGAAAUUGUAAUUCCGGUGAAGAUGCCGGAUACCUGCGACAGGACGGAAAGACCCCAUGGAGCUUUACUGUAGCUUGACAUUGGGGCUUGGUACUACAUGUACAGGAGAGGUGGGAGGCUUUGAAACCAGGACGCCAGUUUUGGCGGAGCCAUCCUUGGGAUACCACCCUUGUAGUACUGGGACUCUAACCAUAGGCCAUGAAUCUGGUCUUGGGACACUGUCAGGUGGGCAGUUUGACUGGGGCGGUCGCCUCCCCAAAGG